CCGUGACCACAAUUUGAGGCCUGGGAUCACUGGCCGGAAGUUCAUCAGUCAGUCGCCGUGCGGUGGUGAGUCGUCGACGAGAUGCGAAUCAUGGAUAGCAGCAGAACGACCACCAAGGCUUCGUCUCUGAGAUGGAAAAUUCUCCGUCAAGCGCUUCUUCCCUCUCGCAAUGAUGAUCAGUCUCAAAUGGAUGCGAUGCGUAUUUCUAGGAGGACGACGAACGGCUUCAAUUUGAUUCCAUCGUUUAUAUCGGAUGAUAUCGGAAACGAAGGCGCCGCUGGUUUAAUUUUAUCUCAAGGCUCCGAUCGCCGUCGGGAUCGUCGCCUGUGCUAUACCUUGCCUAUCGACGGAGCUCCUAAACUUUUCCUCAAGCAAAGAACGGACGACGUUGCUGACCUUGAUGACUUCAAGAUCUGUAAUAAAUAUGACAUUGACAACACCGGGCUUGUUUGUCAUUGGCCAUCAGAAGAUGUUCUUGCUUACUUUUGUUUGUUGCAUUCGGACCUCUUUAGAUGUAAGAGAGUUAUUGAACUUGGAUCUGGCUAUGGCUUGGCUGGAUUAGUUAUUGCUGCAAGUACAGAAGCAUCAGAAGUUGUUAUCACAGAUGGAAAUCCUCAAGUAGUUGAAUAUAUUCAGCAUAAUAUAGCAAUUAACCCUAAAGCAUUUGGUGGCACCAGAGUGGAUUCUUUGACAUUGCAUUGGAAUCAGGAAGACGUCUCAAAUAUUUCUGGCAGUUUUGACAUCAUUGUUGCCAGUGACUGCACUUUUUUUAAAGAAUACCAUAGAGGACUUGCUCGAAUGAUCAAGUUGUUGAGAAGAAAUGAGUCAUCAGAAGCCAUAUUUUUUAGCCCCAAAAGAGGCGACUCACUGGUGAAGUUUCUAGAGGAAAUCAAAGCCAAUGGCUUGCAUUUCAGUGUGACAGAGGAGUAUGAUGCUGAAGUUUGGAAACAACAUGAGAAAUUCUCUAAUGGUGAUGACUCCUGGCCUGGUUAUGAAAAGGAUCAUUGCUAUCCAUUAUUGGUCAGAAUUACUCUCUGAAUUCUUAUUGCGCAUUACAUUUCCACCUUCCCCAAUCAUCGAGUCACCAAGAAAUUAUCUUCAUAUCGACCCUCUUUGACUUAUAGAAGAACAAGUUCAGAUUAUAGGCCUUCACAGUUGGUAGUAGCCAUUCAUAUUAGAGGUGAACAAAGGUCUUUCUGUUCUGUCAAAAGGAAGAUGACAAUGAAGAACAAUUGCAACAGCAGGCCCAUCCCAUUUCUGUAUUAGGUAUACUGGAGCAGCUGGGAAACCUAUAGGAACAGCAAGAGACACAGCAUGGUGUCUCAUGUCCACCAUUCCCAAUAUAUGCCACACAGUAUUUGCCUCCGGCAGGUAGCCCAUGGACUUGUUCCGACAACCAUAUAUUUUUGUGAUGCUUCUGGGUUCUGGUUGGACCUUGUCGAAUCUUGGCGCCUAACGAUCUAUCAAAUAGUUUUUUAGCUCCUCUUAUGGCUUGGCUUAGGCACAAGGUUGUUGGGAUUGGAUUAAGCUCAUCAACAACCUCUGCUUUUAGAUCCAUUACUCAACAUGCAAAGGGCCACCACGGUUAUAACUGCGGUAGCUGCUCUUUCUUACAGCUUUGUUCCUUACUUUUAACUGUGCACCGCCGUCCUGGUGGAGCCGCCACGAUUAUUUGUUUCCUAGCACCCUUGAUGCUGGUUUGGCCCAUACUACUGUACUUGUGAUUGUGGAUGGAGCAUUUCACCCCCAACUGGUGGGGGUGGUGUCUCAGAUGGAUCCCCUUCAGCUUCUGGUCCUACACCCAAAGCGGCUGUCCUCAAAGGYUGUCUUGUCCAAUCCUUUAGGAGAUGCUUCAUUCACCGGUUGUUUGUAUAGUGUUAAAGUUGGAAAGUGGAGCCUACUUUAGUUUCUGAGUUUGCUUUUACAAGGCAAAUUUGUCAGCCUCAGGAGUUAGAAAUAGAAACAUUAUAUGGUUUAGUUUCUAAAGCCAGCACCUCUCAAUCUAUAUAUUAGCUUCUGCAUAUCAGAAAGUUAAAAACUCAAGACAAGGAAUAUAAACUCAAACUGUCAAAAAACAUAUUCUUUUGCAUAAUCUAAAUAUAGGUUACACAAAUCCAAACUUCUCAAAUUUAGGCCUUCCAAAUUCCGGAACCAAAUUUCUCU